rnacentral:rRNA from 1 species
AGCGGCGGACGGGUGAGUAACGCGUGGGAAUAUGCCCUUCUCUAAGGAAUAGCCUCUGGAAACGGAGAGUAAUACCUUAUACGCCCUUCGGGGGAAAGAUUUAUCGGAGAAGGAUUAGCCCGCGUUAGAUUAGGUAGUUGGUGGGGUAAUGGCCUACCAAGCCUACGAUCUAUAGCUGGUUUGAGAGGAUGAUCAGCCACACUGGGACUGAGACACGGCCCAGACUCCUACGGGAGGCAGCAGUAGGGAAUCUUAUACAAUGGGGGAAACCCUGAUCUAGCCAUGCCGCGUGUGUGAUGAAGGCCUUAGGGUCGUAAAGCACUUUCGCCAGAGAUGAUAAUGACAGUAUCUGGUAAAGAAACCCCGGCUAACUCCGUGCCAGCAGCCGCGGUAAUACGGAGGGGGUUAGCGUUGUUCGGAAUUACUGGGCGUAAAGCGCACGUAGGCGGAUUAGUAAGUUAGAGGUGAAAUCCCAGGGCUCAACCCUGGAACUGCCUUUAAUACUGCUAGUCUUGAGUUCGAGAGAGGUAAGUGGAAUUCCGAGUGUAGAGGUGAAAUUCGUAGAUAUUUGGAGGAACACCAGUGGCGAAAGCUGCUUACUGGCUCGAUACUGACGCUGAUGUGCGAAGUGUGCGAGCAAACAGCAUUAGAUACGCAUGUAGUCGACACUGA